rnacentral:misc_RNA from 1 species
GAGAAUGCGAUAUGCAAUGUGAAUUGCAGAACUACGAAUCAUUUGAUCUUUGAACGCAAAUGGCGCUGAUCCAUGUCAGCAUACUUGUUUCAGUGUGCCUAAACAAAUCUAAACAAAGUGUAAGAGAAAACUCUCUUAUUAAAUAGAUGCUCCAAGUAGCAGUCGCAAUCCUUUGUGAGCUUCUUGGUAGUUAAAUGUCUUAUUCGCACCUGAAAUCAAGUAAGAUCACCCGCUGGACUUAA